UAGAAAGCAUAACCCAGUGAAGAAUGCAUUUGGGAAGCAAUCCAUGCUUUCUACCCCUCCCCAGUCUUGCGGCCACCACGCCAGAUAUGCUCUAUGCAAUACAGUUCUGGGAGCAGCCCAUUCACUUCACAGUUGAAGGAGGCAGACCCAGCAAGGAUCAGUAACUUGCAGGAGGCCACGUGGCUGGACCUACACAUUGGUUACUGAGUAUUUGUGAGAUCCAGAACAUCAAGCCCGGAGCAGUGACCAGCACGUUGCAGGACC